AAUAGACAAAUGAGACCUAAUCAAACUCCACAGCUUCUGCACGGCAAAAGAAAUCGUCAUUAGAGUGAAUUGGCAACCAACAGAAUGGGAAACAAUUUUUGCAGUUUACCCAUCUGACAAAGGGUUGAUAUCCAGAAUUUACAAAGAUCUCAAACAGAUUUACAAGAAAAAAACAAGCCCAUUCAAAAGUGGGCAAAGGAUAUGAACAGACACUUUACAAAUGAAGACAUAUAUGAGGCCAACAGUCAUAUGAAAAAUGCUCAUCAUCACUGGUCAUUAAAGAAAUGCAAAUCAAAACUACAUUGAGAUAGCAUCUCACACCAAUUAGAAUGGUGAUCAUUAAAAAAUCUGGAGACAACAGAUGCUGGAGAGGAUGUGGAGAAAUAGGAACACUUUUACACUGCUGGUGGGAGUGUAAAUUAGUUCAAACAUUGUGGAAGACAGUGUGGUGAUUCCUCAAGGACCUAGAAAUAGAAAUUCUAUUUGACCCAGAAUCCCAUUACUGGGUAUAUAUCCAAAGGAUUAUAAAUCGUUCUACUAUAAGGACAUAUGCACAUGAAUGUUCACUGAAGCACUGUCUAUAAUAGCAAAGACCUGGAACCAACUCAAAUGCCCAUCGAUGAUAGACUCGACAGGGAAAAUGUGGCACAUAUACACCAUGGAAUAUUAUGCAGCAUAUAAAACGAUGAGUUCAUGUCCUUUGUAGGGACAUGGAUGAACCUGGAGACCAUCAUUCUCAGCAAACUGACACAAGAACAGAAAAUGAAAUACCGCAUAUUCUCACUCAUAGACUUGCCAAAGAAACUGCUUAUUUCACAGAAGGAUGGUACUGGCUGAAAGGUGCUUCCUUGAAACUGAGAGAUUGCUGCCUUAGACAGGUACAUCCUUGAAGAUGUAUUUGAUUUGCAUUUUAAUUGUUGGAUCUAAAAAUCUAUGACAUGAACUAUUGAAAAUACUAGCCUGAAACUUUAGUUAUCUGCAUUGUUUCUGUUUGCAUUCUGUAUAGUGUGUCACUUAGGAACAUACUGACGAAAAUGAAAUAUAUAUGUUUGGUUAUACAUUAGAGUUUCACAUUCAUUUGAUAAAAGCUACAACUAUCCUUUAGAGAAUAAAUACAUACAUAAAUAAUAAAAAGAUUGACAAUGUCUAGUGUCGGUAAAAGUAUAGGGAAGUAGUUACAAUCAUUCUUACAUCUUGCAGACAAAUAUUGAUUGCAGCAACAUUUUGGGGAGGUUAAUAUGGCAUCAUGUAGCCAAGCUUUGAGAAUCUUUUAUUCCUUUAUCAAUUCAUUUAUUAAAAAUCAGUUGAGCACUUACUAUGUGCCAGGAACCAUUUUAGUUACUGGGGAUAUGGCAGUGAAAAAAGUAAAUCCUUACUGCUGUAGGUCAUAUUGUUAUUUGGAGUAGGACUAGAAACAGAAAAUACAUAAACAAGUAAAUCCAAAGUAUGUCAGUUGUAUUUAAUGCUUUGAACAAAUAAGGUGAGGUGGAAGGAGAACAACUACUUCUUUUGAGGAGGUAUGUUACUGGUUUUAUGUAACAUGUUCAGGAAGGGCCCCGCUGAGAAAGUGACAUGUGAGUGGAGACCUGAAGUGUGUGAGGGUGGGGCAUGCAGAGACCUAAGCAAAGAGAGCUCCAAGUAGAGGGAACAAGCAAAUGCAAGAAAUUCUAAGGUGAAGACUUGCAUCAUUUUAGAUUCAUGGAAUAUGCUGAGGCCAGUGUGUCUGGAGUGAAGUCACUGUGGUAGGGAGUGGUAGGAGAUGGGGUCAAAACGAUACCAAGGAUGAAGAUGAGCAAUUCACAAAGAGACACACAGGUCAUCGAAGGACUUUGUCUUUUGCUCUAAGAGAACUGGCAGACCACUGAUGGAUUGGGGCAGAAGACUGAUGCAGUCUAAAUUCUGAUUUUUAUGUACAUGAUAAAAGAGCAAGGACAGAACAGGCACACUAGUUAGACUAUUAUAGGAAUCUAGAGGCUGUUGCUUUUAAUUUCUAUGUAAAUAAACACAUCAGAACAUAAGACUCCAUAUGCAGGGGUGUUUGUUGCAGCACUGCUAUGUCACCUCAUUACAGAAAACCCUGAAUGCUAUAGCGAUAGGAGACUGGUUGGAUAAAUACUGCUACCUCCAUACAAUGAAAUAGCAUAUGUGGAUUAAAAGAGUAAAUUAGGACUGGGUGUGGUGGCUCACACCUUUAAUCCCAGCACUUUGGGAAGCCUAGGCAAGAAGACUGCUUGAAGCCUGGAGUUAGAGAGCAGCCUGGGCAACACAAUAAGACUCCAUCUACAAAAAAUUUUUAAAAAUUAAAAACUUAGCUGAGUAUCAUGGUGUGGACUUGUAAUUCUAGCUACUCAAGAAGCUGAAGUGGAAGGAUUGCUUGAGCCCGGGAGUUUGAGGCUGUAGGGAGCUAUGAUCACAUCAUUGUACUCUAGCCUGGGCAGCAGAGUAAGGCCUGUCUCAAAAAUAAAAAAAGAAAAAGUAUGAGUUAGAAUUUUGGUCUGAUGUCAAAGCUUGUACUUUUCUGUGCUUUAACUCCUACAUUACAUAACUUCAAGUCGAAUGGUUCUUUUCUUUUUUUUUUAUUGCAUUUUAGGUUUUGGGGUACAUGUGCAGAACAUGCAAGAUAGUUGCAUAGGUACACACAUGACAGUGUGUUUUGCUGCC
rnacentral:lncRNA from 1 species